rnacentral:rRNA from 1 species
CCUACGGGUGGCAGCAGUGGGGAAUAUUGCACAAUGGGCGCAAGCCUGAUGCAGCCAUGCCGCGUGUGUGAAGAAGGCCUUCGGGUUGUAAAGCACUUUCAGCGGGGAGGAAGGCGGUGAGGUUAAUAACCUCAUCGAUUGACGGUACCCGCAGAAGAAGCACCGGCUAACUCCGUGCCAGCAGCCGCGGUAAUACGGAGGGUGCAAGCGUUAAUCGGAAUUACUGGGCGUAAAGCGCACGCAGGCGGGCUGUCAAGUCGGAUGUGAAAUCCCCGGGCUCAACCUGGGAACUGCAUUCGAAACUGGCAGGCUAGAGUCUUGUAGAGGGGAGUAGAAUUCCAGGUGUAGCGGUGAAAUGCGUAGAGAUCUGGAGGAAUACCGGUGGCGAAGGCGGCCCCCUGGACAAAGACUGACGCUCAGGUGCGAAAGCGUGGGGAGCAAACAGGAUUAGAUACCCGAGUAGUC